UCCAGACUCCUACGGGAGGCAGCAGUGGGGGAUAUUGCACAAUGGGGGGAACCCUGAUGCAGCGACGCCGCGUGGGUGAAGGAGCGUUUCGGCGCGUAAAGCCCUAUCGGCAGGGAAGAAGGAGGACGGUACCUGACUAAGAAGCCCCGGCUAACUACGUGCCAGCAGCCGCGGUAAUACGUAGGGGGCAAGCGUUAUCCGGAUUUACUGGGUGUAAAGGGGGCGCAGACGGCAGCGCAAGCCAGGAGUGAAAGCCCGGGGCCCAACCCCGGGACUGCUCUUGGAACUGCGCGGCUGGAGUGCGGGAGGGGCAGGCGGAAUUCCUGGUGUAGCGGUGAAAUGCGUAGAUAUCAGGAGGAACACCGGUGGCGAAGGCGGCCUGCUGGACUGCGACUGACGUUGAGGCCCGAAAGCGUGGGGAGCAAACAGGAUUAGAUACCCUCGUAAUG
rnacentral:rRNA from 1 species